GCCAUGUAUUUGGGAUUUUUCGUAUUGAUACAAGAUAAUUGUCAUUUAGGAACGACAACCUCGUUUCAGUUUCUAUAUAUUAUAGCCUUAAAAUUGAUAAACGAGGCAUUUCAAAGUGAAGAGUGUCACCUAUUUGCGAUUUUUCGUAUUGACACAAGAUAGUUGUAUUUUAGGGUCAACAACGUCUAGGUUCUUAUAUUUUAGCCGUGGAAUUGAUAAACGACGCAUUUAGAAGUGACGAGUGUUGUAUAUUUGCGAUUUUUCGUAUUGAUACAAGAUAUUUGUACUUUAGGGUCAACAACCUCGUUUCAGUUUCUGUAUAUUUUAGCCGCUAAAUUGAUAAACGAGGCAUUUUAAAGUGAUGAGUGUCAUAUAUUUCUGAUUUUCCGUUUGAUACUAGAUAAUUGUCAUUUAGGGACGACAAACUCGUCUCAGGUUCUAUAUACUUUAGUCGUAAAAUAGAUAAACGAGGCAUUUCAAAGUGACGAGUGUUAUAUAUUUGCUAUUUUUCGUAUUUAUACAAGAUAAAUGUCAUUUAGAGUCGACAACCUCGUUGCAGUUUCUAUAUAUUUUAGUCGCAAAAUUGAUAAACGAGGCAUUUUAAAGUGACGAGUGUCAUGUAUUUGCGAUUUUUCGUGUUGAUACAAAAUAAUUGUCAUUUAGGGACGACAACCUCGUUUGUGAUUCUAUAUAUUUUAGCCGUAAACUUGAUAAACGAGGCAUUUCAAAGUGACGAGUGCCAUGUAUUUGGGAUUUUUCGUAUUGAUACAAGAUAAUUGUCAUUUAGGGACCACAACCUCGUUUCAGUUUCUAUAUAUUUUAGUCGUAAAAUUGAUAAACCAGGCAAUUGAAAGUAACGAGUGUCAUAUAUUUGAGAUUUUUCGUAUUGAUACAAGAUAAUUGUACUUUAGGGGCGACAACGUCUGAGUUUCUAUAUAUUUUAGCCGUAAAAUUGAUAAACGAGGUAUUUAAAAGUGACGAGUGCCAUGUAUUUGGGAUUUUUCGUAUUGAUACAAGAUAAUUGUCAUUUAGGGACGACAACCUCGUUUGUGAUUCUAUAUAUUUUAGCCGUAAAAUUGAUAAACGAGUCAUUUAAAAGUAACAAGUGUCUCAUAUAUUUGCGAUUUUUCGAAUUGAUACAGGAUAAUUGUCAUUUAAUGUCAACAACCUCGUCUCAAUUUCUAUAUAUUUUAGCCGUAAAAUUGAUAAACGACGCAUUUAGAAGUGACGAGUGUUGUAUAUUUGCGAUUUUUCGUAUUGAUACAAGAUAUUUGUACUUUAGGGUCAACAACCUCGUUUCAGUUUCUAUAUAUUUUAGCCGCUAAAUUGAUAAACGAGGCAUUUUAAAGUGAUAAGUGUCAUAUAUUUCUGAUUUUUCGUUUGAUACUAGAUAAUUGUCAUUUAGGGACGACAUACUCGUCUCAGGUUCUAUAUACUUUAGUCGUAAAAUAGAUAAACGAGGCAUUUCAAAGUGACGAGUGUUAUAUAUUUGCUAUUUUUCGUAUUUAUACAAGAUAAAUGUCAUUUAGAGUCGACAACCUCGUUGCAGUUUCUAUAUAUUUUAGUCGCAAAAUUGAUAAACGAGGCAUUUUAAAGUGACGAGUGUCAUGUAUUUGCGAUUUUUCGUGUUGAUACAAGAUAAUUGUCAUUUAGGAACGACAACCUCGUUUCAGUUUCUAUAUAUUAUAGCCUUAAAAUUGAUAAACGAGGCAUUUCAAAGUGAAGAGUGUCACCUAUUUGCGAUUUUUCGUAUUGACACAAGAUAGUUGUAUUUUAGGGUCAACAACGUCUAGGUUCUUAUAUUUUAGCCGUGGAAUUGAUAAACGACGCAUUUAGAAGUGACGAGUGUUGUAUAUUUGCGAUUUUUCGUAUUGAUACAAGAUAUUUGUACUUUAGGGUCAACAACCUCGUUUCAGUUUCUGUAUAUUUUAGCCGCUAAAUUGAUAAACGAGGCAUUUUAAAGUGAUGAGUGUCAUAUAUUUCUGAUUUUCCGUUUGAUACUAGAUAAUUGUCAUUUAGGGACGACAAACUCGUCUCAGGUUCUAUAUACUUUAGUCGUAAAAUAGAUAAACGAGGCAUUUCAAAGUGACGAGUGUUAUAUAUUUGCUAUUUUUCGUAUUUAUACAAGAUAAAUGUCAUUUAGAGUCGACAACCUCGUUGCAGUUUCUAUAUAUUUUAGUCGCAAAAUUGAUAAACGAGGCAUUUUAAAGUGACGAGUGUCAUGUAUUUGCGAUUUUUCGUGUUGAUACAAAAUAAUUGUCAUUUAGGGACGACAACCUCGUUUGUGAUUCUAUAUAUUUUAGCCGUAAACUUGAUAAACGAGGCAUUUCAAAGUGACGAGUGCCAUGUAUUUGGGACUUUUCGUAUUGAUACAAGAUAAUUGUCAUUUAGGGACCACAACCUCGUUUCAGUUUCUAUAUAUUUUACUCGUAAAAUUGAUAAACCAGGCAAUUGAAAGUAACGAGUGUCAUAUAUUUGAGAUUUUUCGUAUUGAUACAAGAUAAUUGUACUUUAGGGGCGACAACGUCUGAGUUUCUAUAUAUUUUAGCCGUAAAAUUGAUAAACGAGGUAUUUAAAAGUGACGAGUGCCAUGUAUUUGGGAUUUUUCGUAUUGAUACAAGAUAAUUGUCAUUUAGGGACGACAACCUCGUUUGUGAUUCUAUAUAUUUUAGCCGUAAAAUUGAUAAACGAGUCAUUUAAAAGUAACAAGUGUCUCAUAUAUUUGCGAUUUUUCGAAUUGAUACAGGAUAAUUGUCAUUUAAUGUCAACAACCUCGUCUCAAUUUCUAUAUAUUUUAGCCGUAAAAUUGAUAAACGACGCAUUUAGAAGUGACGAGUGUUGUAUAUUUGCGAUUUUUCGUAUUGAUACAAGAUAUUUGUACUUUAGGGUCAACAACCUCGUUUCAGUUUCUAUAUAUUUUAGCCGCUAAAUUGAUAAACGAGGCAUUUUAAAGUGAUAAGUGUCAUAUAUUUCUGAUUUUUCGUUUGAUACUAGAUAAUUGUCAUUUAGGGACGACAUACUCGUCUCAGGUUCUAUAUACUUUAGUCGUAAAAUAGAUAAACGAGGCAUUUCAAAGUGACGAGUGUUAUAUAUUUGCUAUUUUUCAUAUUUAUACAAGAUAAAUGUCAUUUAGAGUCGACAACCUCGUUGCAGUUUCUAUAUAUUUUUGCCGUAAAAUUGAUAAACGAGGCAUUUCAAAGUGACGAGUGCCAUGUAUUUGGGAUUUUUCGUAUUGAUACAAGAUAAUUGUCAUUUAGGGACGACAACCUCGUUUGAGUUUCUAUAUAUUUUAGUCGUAAAAUUGAUAAACGACGCAUUUAAAAGAAGUGAGUGUCAUGUAUUUGAGAUUUUUCGUAUUGAUAAAGGAUAAUUGUACUUUAGGGUCGACAACGUCUGAGUUUCUAUAUAUUUUAGCCUUAAAAUUGAUAAACGAGUCAUUUAAAAGUAACGAGUGUCUCAUAUAUUUGCGAUUUUUCGAAUUGAUACAGGAUAAUUGUCAAUUAGGGACAAAAACCUCGUCUCAGGUUCUAUAUAUUUUAGCCGUAAAAUUGAUAAACGAGGCAUUUCAAAGUGACGAGUGCCAUGUAUUUGGGAUUUUUCGUAUUGAUACAAGAUAAUUGUCAUUUAGGGACGACAACCUCGUUUCAGUUUCUAUAUAUUUUAGUCGUAAAAUUGAUAAACGAGGCAUUU